rnacentral:rRNA from 1 species
UAUGGGAGGCAGCAGUGAGGAAUAUUGGUCAAUGGGCGAAAGUCUGAACCAGCCAUGCCGCGUGCAGGAUGAAUGCCCUAUGGGUUGUAAACUGCUUUUAUAUAGGAAUAAACCCCCCCACGUGUCGGGGGCUGAAGGUACUAUAAGAAUAAGGACCGGCUAACUCCGUGCCAGCAGCCGCGGUAAUACGGAGGGUCCAAGCGUUAUCCGGAUUUAUUGGGUUUAAAGGGUCCGCAGGCGGAUUAAUAAGUCAGUGGUGAAAUCCUCUCGCUUAACGAUAGAACUGCCAUUGAUACUGUUUUUCUUGAGUAUGCUUGAAGUGGGCGGAAUGUGUCAUGUAGCGGUGAAAUGCAUAGAUAUGACACAGAACACCGAUUGCGAAGGCAGCUCACUAAAUUAUAACUGACGCUCAUGCACGAAAGCGUGGGGAGCAAACAGGAUUAGAUACCCUGGUAGUCCCCGCCGUAAACGAUGAUUACUCGGUGCUAGCGAUAUACGGUUAGUGCCUAAGCGAAAGCGAUAAGUAAUCCGCCUGGAUC